CAAGUGAGUCCAACAGAGUAUGGAGACUAUUCACCCUUUGUCAGCCCUCUGAUUGGUUCCUGGCUCGACCAAUCAGAAAAAUCCUUCGCCGUUGCCCAACUUCCGGUUGGACAUUUGGCCUCGGCUCUAUCACAACAUCACAACAACUGAACAAGAGUAGAUUUAAAAUGGUUAAACGGUGUGCAUGGGGGACUUGUAAAAGUGACUCUCGCUAUCCUGAGAGAAGCCCAGGAGUAUAUUUUAUCCCAUUCCCGAAACCGAAAGUACAUUACGAAAAAUGUUUACUUUGGAUACGUUUAUGCGGACGUCCGCACUGGCAGCUAAAUCCGUCCAAAAUAACGAAAUACACGUACAUCUGCUCUGAGGUAAGUUGGCACAUUAUUCUUUACAGUAGUAAUGUCACAAUUUAAGAGCUAAUGUUAGUGGUUGUACUUAGGUUUUAUAGGCAUUUAUUUCCUUCUGCUAGCCAAAAUUGGCAUUAUAGCUGUCGUAGCCACUAGCUGUCAUAGCAUGAUUGUGUUCGCAUGCCAAGAUGAUGCCAUUCUGUAACAUCUGUUUAUAUUUUUUAUGAAAGCACUUUGUUGAUGGGGCACCAAGUGAUCGAUACCCAAACCCCGUGGAUGCAACAGGAAAGUCUGUUAAGCCUUGCAGACUUAACCCCAAAAGACAAAGGCUGCAUCAGCAGAGUGAGAGCGGCAGUUUGGCAAGCCCAGGUCAUACCAUGGCUGAAGAUACAGCACAGACCAGUAACGUGGCAGAAGAAGACGCACAGCAAAGCAGCAUAGCAGAAGAGAAAGAAGAGAUUGGCAGCGGCGCAGAAGAGACAGAAGAGACGAAAGAGAUUGGCAGCAGGGCAGAAGAGAGAACAAACCCAGGAGAGACCUGUUACACUGCAGAAGACACAGCACAGCCCAACACAGUCGGACACAUGUCAGAAAACGCUCAGUAUCUGUCAUUUUUAUAUGUUUCCUGUGGAUGUAGGAUAUGAAAAAAGAAAAGUCAGUUCAGAAACAUUUUUAUGCAAUACAUUUGUAUUUACAUUUGUAUACUUGUUUAAUGCAAUUAAAGUAAUUGAUUCAUUUUAUCACUGUUCUUUAAUAGUCUACAAGGAUCUUUUACUUGUUCAUUCAUCAGAUUGUUCACGGUUAUUACAUUGAUAUUUUUGGUUUACCUCUUCAUAUGCCUCAAAGUGACCUUUCUCUUUCUUUUAAGUUUGGCUUUCAAUGGCUUAAUGUGUGACACAGGUUCAUUCCCUAUUGUUUUUCCACGUGGUUUGUGCCACAUUUGUGGCAUACUAGUGCAGGAUAGUGGAUUUGAGACCUCUUUUUGACCACGCUGAAGAUCCAAUGUGUACAUUAAUCCAACAAUAUGGGAACAGUAACCAGCAGACCUGAAAAUAUAAGCACAUUUUUGCAUAAUAAUGAAUAUAUAACAUAUGCCUAGCUAGUGUGAUAAUUACUUGAUUAAUUACUUAAUAUUACUACAGUGUUAAUAUUGUAUAAUUCACUUACCCUGCAGUGCAGGAGCAGUUCUGACCUGUGAUGACUCCAUCUGGAGUUACAUGUACAGAAAGUAAAUGAGGUUUCUCUCUUUUUCGCAUGGAUCUGUAGCAUUUUGCAUUUAUAGAAGUAUCUGUGAAAGUUAUGUCACGUACAUAACUCUCCAAAGCAUACUGAAGGCCCUGUUGUCUACACUUUGAGGAUAUUUGAGAGCCCUGGCUCGAAAACUGGUCACAUAUAGCCUGUAAAGGUAAGUCUGUGGCUGGGAGUGUGCUAUUAGCAUGUUGACCUGCCAUCCCGGUCCCGGUUUGUGAUCAGGUGCUGGUUUGAGGUCCCGUUAGGUCACCCUAUAUUCAAUCGCGCCAAGCAGAAAGGGGGAAACAGCGCCCCCUCUGGUGGAUAAAUGAAUCUGUUUUAUCCAAUGUUAGCUAAACUAAGAAAAUAUCGUGUUUUGGAGGGAAGACAACAUUUUGCGAAGCCACAAUAUUGUACAAGAGAUGUUCCUCUUCAUUUAUAUAAUGAUUCUGUUUUUGUUUCUGUAUAUUAAAAUGCUGUAUAAGGCAAUGGAAAAAGUCGUUUUUACAAUGGGAGUGAAUGGAGAGGCAGACUUGGUUGUCCGACCUAGCAACAAACUCGCGGGGGGGCGGGGCUUGACAAAGGGUGAAUUAUUUCAAUUCCAGCCGUUUUCAGUACAAAAAAUCGCUAAUAUUCUAUUUUUAAAUAAAAAAAAUUACGAAAAAUACGGGGAAUAUUGGACGCGCAUCGGGAGGUGCAUUUCCUUGAAAACGACCGAUUCGGGGAUUUUAUACCGACUUCAGGACAUGUUUUGGACAAAAUAGUUUACUGGCUUGUGUCAUCUGAUGUAAAAGGUUGGAUUAUGGCCGUUUUUUGUGGAAUCUUUUUUUUUGUGUGUAAUAAUAAACCCGGAAAUGUG